rnacentral:misc_RNA from 1 species
AUAGACAAUCAAUAGAAGAAAAGCUAUGUCUGUAGCUAGAGGGCCGAAGUAGGUAAUCUAGAGUACAGUAUAUCCCUGUGUGUGUAUGAGAGGGCACUUGUAUAUACAAUAGGCUAUUUAUUAAACCUCAGCAAAAUCAUACAUAUCAUUAAUUGUGUUAGUGAUGUAUUCAUAGUCCAUUAGACUGGUAGGGCUAGAUUCCAUUGUUAGGGGAGUGAGUUGUACCGCCACUACUCUGAGUGCAAUAUUUAAUUUACUACUACAUGUACUAUGUUUUACAUUUCCAGUUUCAUCACAAAUCAUGUCUUUCAUGUGGUUAUUCUAUCAGCAUACACUGUUUGUACUGUACAUUUUGUUCAAUUGUCAAGUGAUUUGUUGCUAACAUAAUUGGAUGCUUUAUACUUCGUUUAAUUUUUUUUUUAACUUGGUUUUCUAUUACUUUUGUAAUUUUAAAUUCAAACAAAAUUAUUUGAAGAAUAACUUUUUCAGUGUAAUGUAAAAUUAGAAAAAAAAUAUUGAUUCCUUUGGCAACAGGAAUGUAUUUGUACAAAUAAACAGAAAUGGC